rnacentral:rRNA from 1 species
CAAUAGCGUAUAUUAAAGCUGUUGCGGUUAAAAAGCUCGUAGUUGGAUUUCUGUCAAGGACAACUGGUCCGCCCUCCGGGUGAGCACAUAGUUUGGUCUUGACAUCUUGCUGGAAGCUGUUGCUGCACUUGGCUGUGUGGCGCAGUGUUCAGCACUUUCACUUUGAGGAAAUUGGAGUGUUUCAAGCAGGCACAUGCCUUUGGACACAGUAGCAUGGAAUAAUUAGAUUGGGCUUUUGCUCCAAUUUGUCGGUUUCUGGAGCUGAGGUGAGUAUUAAUGGGGAUUGUUGGGUGCAUCCGAAUUUAGCCGUCAGAGGUGAAAUUCUUGGAUCUGCUAAAGACGGACAACUGCGAAAGCGUUUGCCCAGGAUGUUUUCAUUGA